rnacentral:misc_RNA from 1 species
UACAGAGGGUGCAAACGUUGUUCGGAAUUACUGGGCAUAAAGCGCGCGUAGGCGGCCUUGUAAGUGUGAAGUGAAAUCCCACGGCUCAACCGUGGAAUUGCUUUGCAUACUGCAAGGCUAGAGGACGGUAGGGGAGAGCGGAACUCCUGGUGGAGCGGUGAAAUGCGUAGAUAUCAGGAGGAACACCGGUGGCGAAGGCGGCUCUCUGGUCCGUUUCUGACGCUGAGGUGCGAAAGCCAGGGUAGCGAACGGG